GAGGUUGUGGCUCAGUGGUAGAGCGCUCGCUUAGCACAUGUGCGGCACUGGGUUCGAUCCUCAGCACCACA
rnacentral:tRNA from 1 species